rnacentral:rRNA from 1 species
GACGAACGCUGGCGGCGUGCUUAACACAUGCAAGUCGAACGAAGUGGCGAACGGGUGAGUAACGCGUAAUCAACCUGCCCUUCAGAGGGGGACAACAGUUGGAAACGACUGCUAAUACCGCAAACUGAAGGAGGGGAUUUCGUCUGAUUAGCUAGUUGGAGGGGUAACGGCCCACCAAGGCGAUGAUAAGUAGCCGGUCUGGGGGGGUGGACGGCCACAUUGGUGCUGAGACACGGCCCAGACUCCUACGGGAGGCAGCAGUGGGGAAUCUUCCGCAAUUGGCGGAAGUCUGACGGAGCAACGCCGCGUGAGUGAUGACGGCCUUCGGGUUGUAAAGCUCUGUUAAUCGGGACGCGGUACCGGAAUAGAAAGCCACGGCUAACUACGUGCCAGCAGCCGCGGUAAUUC